rnacentral:rRNA from 1 species
GAUGAACGCUGGCGGCGUGCCUAAUACAUGCAAGUCGAGCGAAUGGAUUAAGAGCUUGCUCUUAUGAAGUUAGCGGCGGACGGGUGAGUAACACGUGGGUAACCUGCCCAUAAGACUGGGAUAACUCCGGGAAACCGGGGCUAAUACCGGAUAACAUUUUGAACCGCAUGGUUCGAAAUUGAAAGGCGGCUUCGGCUGUCACUUAUGGAUGGACCCGCAUCGCAUUAGCUAGUUGGUGAGGUAACGGCUCACCAAGGCAACGAUGCGUAGCCGACCUGAGAGGGUGAUCGGCCACACUGGGACUGAGACACGGCCCAGACUCCUACGGGAGGCAGCAGUAGGGAAUCUUCCGCAAUGGACGAAAGUCUGACGGAGCAACGCCGCGUGAGUGAUGAAGGCUUUCGGGUCGUAAAACUCUGUUGUUAGGGAAGAACAAGUGCUAGUUGAAUAGGCUGGCACCUUGACGGUACCUAACCAGAAAGCCACGGCUAACUACGUGCCAGCCGCCGCGGUAA